CUUCCUCGAUCUGCUGUGGGCAGAUGAAGUGAAUAUGCGCAUCCAUGCCGCCAGCGGUGAGAAUCUUGCCCUCACCGGCAAUCGCCUCCGUCGAUGGGCCAACGAUGAUGGUGACACCCGGCUGCGUAUCGGGAUUGCCCGCUUUGCCGAUGGCGAAAAUGCGCCCGUCCUUCAAGCCUACAUCCGCCUUGUAGACGCCGCUAUGAUCGACAACAACGACAUUGGUGAUAACGGUAUCGACAGCGCCCUGUGCCCGCGUCGCCUGGCUUUGCCCCAUGCCAUCACGAAUG
rnacentral:sRNA from 1 species